rnacentral:rRNA from 1 species
AUUGAACGCUGGCGGCAUGCCUUACACAUGCAAGUCGAACGGCAGCACGGGGCAACCUGGUGGCGAGUGGCGAACGGGUGAGUAAUGCAUCGGAACGCACCUUUCCGGGGGGGAUAACGUAGCGAAAGUUACGCUAAUACCGCAUAUUCUGUGAGCAGGAAAGCAGGGGAUCGCAAGACCUUGCGCUGAUUGAGCGGCCGAUGUCAGAUUAGCUAGUUGGUGAGGUAAAGGCUCACCAAGGCGACGAUCUGUAGCGGGUCUGAGAGGAUGAUCCGCCACACUGGAACUGAGACACGGUCCAGACUCCUACGGGAGGCAGCAGUGGGGAAUUUUGGACAAUGGGGGCAACCCUGAUCCAGCCAUGCCGCGUGAGUGAAGAAGGCCUUCGGGUUGUAAAGCUCUUUCGGCCGGGAAGAAAUCGCACGGGCUAAUACCCUGUGUGGAUGACGGUACCGGAAUAAGAAGCACCGGCUAACUACGUGCCAGCCGCCGCCGUAAGAC